GACGAACGCUGGCGGCGUGCUUAACACAUGCAAGUCGAACGGAAAGGCCCUGCUUUUGUGGGGUGCUCGAGUGGCGAACGGGUGAGUAACACGUGAGUAACCUGCCCUUGACUUUGGGAUAACUUCAGGAAACUGGGGCUAAUACCGGAUAGGAGCUCCUGCUGCAUGGUGGGGGUUGGAAAGUUUCGGCGGUUGGGGAUGGACUCGCGGCUUAUCAGCUUUUUGGUGGGGUAGUGGCUUACCAAGGCUUUGACGGGUAGCCGGCCUGAGAGGGUGACCGGCCACAUUGGGACUGAGAUACGGCCCAGACUCCUACGGGAGGCAGCAGUGGGGAAUAUUGCACAAUGGGCGGAAGCCUGAGGCAGAAACGCCGCGUGCGGGAUGACGGCCUUCGGGUUGUAAACCGCUUUCGACUGUGACGAAGCGUGAGUGACGGUAAUGGGUAAAGAAGCACCGGCUAACUACGUG
rnacentral:rRNA from 1 species